rnacentral:rRNA from 1 species
AAUCAACGCUGGCGGCGUGCCCCAGACAUCCAAGUCGAACGAUUAAACUUCCCUUCGGGGAAGAUAUAAAGUGGCGCACGGGUGAGUAACACGUAGGUAAUGUACCUUUGGGUGGGGAAUAACUUAGGGAAACUUAAGCUAAUACCGCAUAAUGCAGCGGCUCCUUCGGGAGACAGUUGUUAAAGAUUUAUCGCCUAAAGAGCAGCCUGCGGCAGAUUAGCUAGUUGGUAAGGUAACGGCUUACCAAGGCUACGAUCUGUAUCCGACCUGAGAGGGUGGUCGGACACACUGACACUGAAUAACGGGUCAGACUCCUACGGGAGGCAGCAGUCGGGAAUUUUGGGCAAUGGGCGAAAGCCUGACCCAGCAACGCCGCGUGAAGGAUGAAGUCUUUCGGGAUGUAAACUUCGUAAGAAUAGGAAGAAUAAAUGACGGUACUAUUUGUAAGGUCCGGCUAACUACGUG